rnacentral:snRNA from 2 species
AGCCGUGCAGUGAGCACAGAGCGAACUAUUCUUUCGCCUUUUACUAAAGAAUACCGUGUGCUUGCUGCAAUUAGCGGCAUACGCCCAUUUUUGGAGGACUUAGUCAUCUUUGGCU